rnacentral:rRNA from 1 species
GAUUAAGUUAUUAAGGGCGCACGGUGGAUGCCUUGGCACUAGAAGCCGAUGAAGGACGUUACUAACGACGAUAUGCUUUGGGGAGCUGUAAGUAAGCUUUGAUCCAGAGAUUUCCGAAUGGGGAAACCCAGCAUGAGUUAUGUCAUGUUAUCGAUAUGUGAAUACAUAGCAUAUCAGAAGGCACACCCGGAGAACUGAAACAUCUUAGUACCCGGAGGAAGAGAAAGAAAAUUCGAUUCCCUUAGUAGCGGCGAGCGAAACGGGAAGAGCCCAAACCAACAAGCUUGCUUGUUGGGGUUGUAGGACACUCUAUACGGAGUUACAAAGGACGACAUUAGACGAAUCAUCUGGAAAGAUGAAUCAAAGAAGGUAAUAAUCCUGUAGUCGAAAAUGUUGUCUCUCUUGAGUGGAUCCUGAGUACGACGGAGCACGUGAAAUUCCGUCGGAAUCUGGGAGGACCAUCUCCUAAGGCUAAAUACUCUCUAGUGACCGAUAGUGAACCAGUACCGUGAGGGAAAGGUGAAAAGCACCCCGGAAGGGGAGUGAAAUAGAACCUGAAACCGUGUGCUUACAAGUAGUCAGAGCCCGUUAAUGGGUGAUGGCGUGCCUUUUGUAGAAUGAACCGGCGAGUUACGAUUUGAUGCAAGGUUAAGCAGUAAAUGUGGAGCCGUAGCGAAAGCGAGUCUGAAUAGGGCGUUUAGUAUUUGGUCGUAGACCCGAAACCAGGUGAUCUACCCUUGGUCAGGUUGAAGUUCAGGUAACACUGAAUGGAGGACCGAACCGACUUACGUUGAAAAGUGAGCGGAUGAACUGAGGGUAGCGGAGAAAUUCCAAUCGAACCUGGAGAUAGCUGGUUCUCUCCGAAAUAGCUUUAGGGCUAGCCUCAAGUGAUGAUUAUUGGAGGUAGAGCACUGUUUGGACGAGGGGCCCCUCUCGGGUUACCGAAUUCAGACAAACUCCGAAUGCCAAUUAAUUUAACUUGGGAGUCAGAACAUGGGUGAUAAGGUCCGUGUUCGAAAGGGAAACAGCCCAGACCACCAGCUAAGGUCCCAAAAUAUAUGUUAAGUGGAAAAGGAUGUGGCGUUGCCCAGACAACUAGGAUGUUGGCUUAGAAGCAGCCAUCAUUUAAAGAGUGCGUAAUAGCUCACUAGUCGAGUGACACUGCGCCGAAAAUGUACCGGGGCUAAACAUAUUACCGAAGCUGUGGAUUGUCCUUUGGACAAUGGUAGGAGAGCGUUCUAAGGGCGUUGAAGCAUGAUCGUAAGGACAUGUGGAGCGCUUAGAAGUGAGAAUGCCGGUGUGAGUAGCGAAAGACGGGUGAGAAUCCCGUCCACCGAUUGACUAAGGUUUCCAGAGGAAGGCUCGUCCGCUCUGGGUUAGUCGGGUCCUAAGCUGAGGCCGACAGGCGUAGGCGAUGGAUAACAGGUUGAUAUUCCUGUACCACCUAUAAUCGUUUUAAUCGAUGGGGGGACGCAGUAGGAUAGGCGAAGCGUGCGAUUGGAUUGCACGUCUAAGCAGUAAGGCUGAGUAUUAGGCAAAUCCGGUACUCGUUAAGGCUGAGCUGUGAUGGGGAGAAGACAUUGUGUCUUCGAGUCGUUGAUUUCACACUGCCGAGAAAAGCCUCUAGAUAGAAAAUAGGUGCCCGUACCGCAAACCGACACAGGUAGUCAAGAUGAGAAUUCUAAGGUGAGCGAGCGAACUCUCGUUAAGGAACUCGGCAAAAUGACCCCGUAACUUCGGGAGAAGGGGUGCUCUUUAGGGUUAACGUCCAGAAGAGCCGCAGUGAAUAGGCCCAAGCGACUGUUUAUCAAAAACACAGGUCUCUGCUAAACCGUAAGGUGAUGUAUAGGGGCUGACGCCUGCCCGGUGCUGGAAGGUUAAGAGGAGUGGUUAGCUUCUGCGAAGCUACGAAUCGAAGCCCCAGUAAACGGCGGCCGUAACUAUAACGGUCCUAAGGUAGCGAAAUUCCUUGUCGGGUAAGUUCCGACCCGCACGAAAGGCGUAACGAUUUGGGCACUGUCUCAACGAGAGACUCGGUGAAAUCAUAGUACCUGUGAAGAUGCAGGUUACCCGCGACAGGACGGAAAGACCCCGUGGAGCUUUACUGUAGCCUGAUAUUGAAAUUCGGCACAGCUUGUACAGGAUAGGUAGGAGCCUUUGAAACGUGAGCGCUAGCUUACGUGGAGGCGCUGGUGGGAUACUACCCUAGCUGUGUUGGCUUUCUAACCCGCACCACUUAUCGUGGUGGGAGACAGUGUCAGGCGGGCAGUUUGACUGGGGCGGUCGCCUCCUAAAAGGUAACGGAGGCGCUCAAAGGUUCCCUCAGAAUGGUUGGAAAUCAUUCAUAGAGUGUAAAGGCAUAAGGGAGCUUGACUGCGAGACCUACAAGUCGAGCAGGGUCGAAAGACGGACUUAGUGAUCCGGUGGUUCCGCAUGGAAGGGCCAUCGCUCAACGGAUAAAAGCUACCCCGGGGAUAACAGGCUUAUCUCCCCCAAGAGUUCACAUCGACGGGGAGGUUUGGCACCUCGAUGUCGGCUCAUCGCAUCCUGGGGCUGUAGUCGGUCCCAAGGGUUGGGCUGUUCGCCCAUUAAAGCGGUACGCGAGCUGGGUUCAGAACGUCGUGAGACAGUUCGGUCCCUAUCCGUCGUGGGCGUAGGAAAUUUGAGAGGAGCUGUCCUUAGUACGAGAGGACCGGGAUGGACAUACCUCUGGUGUACCAGUUGUCGUGCCAACGGCAUAGCUGGGUAGCUAUGUGUGGACGGGAUAAGUGCUGAAAGCAUCUAAGCAUGAAGCCCCCCUCAAGAUGAGAUUUCCCAACUUCGGUUAUAAGAUCCCUCAAAGAUGAUGAGGUUAAUAGGUUCGAGGUGGAAGCAUGGUGACAUGUAGAGCUGACGAAUACUAAUCGAUCGAAGACUUAAUCAA